rnacentral:rRNA from 1 species
GACGAACGCUGGCGGCGUGCUUAACACAUGCAAGUCGAACGGAAAGGCCCUGCUUUUGUGGGGUGCUCGAGUGGCGAACGGGUGAGUAACACGUGAGUAACCUGCCCUUGACUUUGGGAUAACUUCAGGAAACUGGGGCUAAUACCGGAUAGCAGCUCCUGCUGCAUGGUGGGGGUUGGAAAGUUUCGGCGGAUGGGGAUGGUCUCGCGGCUUAUCAGCUGGUUGGUGUGGUAGUGGCUUACAAAGGCUUCGACGGGUAGCCGGCCUGAGAGGGUGACCGGCCACAUUGGGCCUGAGAUAGGGCCCAGACUCCUACGGGAGGCAGCAGUGGGAAAUAUUGCACGAUGGGCGGAAGCCUGAUGCAGCAACGCCGCGUGCGGGAUGACGGCCUUCGGGGUGUAAACCGCUUUCGCCUGUGACGAAGCGUGAGUGACGGUAAUGGGUAAGGAAGCACCGGCUAACUACGUG